CCUACGGGAGGCAGCAGUGAGGAAUCUUGGUCAAUGGGCGCGAGCCUGAACCAGCCAAGUAGCGUGAAGGAUGACUGCCCUACGGGUUGUAAACUUCUUUUAUAAAGGAAUAAAGUGAGGCACGUGUGCCUUUUUGUAUGUACUUUAUGAAUAAGGAUCGGCUAACUCCGUGCCAGCAGCCGCGGUAAUACGGAGGAGCCGACCGUUAUCCGGAUUUAUUGGGUUUAAAGGGAGCGUAGAUGGGUUGUUAAGUCAGUUGUGAAAGUUUGCGGCUCAACCGUAAAAUUGCAAUUGAUACUGGCAGGCUGGAGUACAGUUGAGGUAGGCGGAAUUCGUGGUGUAGCGGUGAAAUGCUUAGAUAUCACGAAGAACUCCGAUUGCGAAGGCAGCUUACUAAACUGCCACUGACAUUGAUGCUCGAAAGUGUGGGUAUCAAACAGGAUUAGAUACCCCUGUAGUC
rnacentral:rRNA from 1 species